AUUGAACGCUGGCAGCAUGCCUUACACAUGCAAGUCGAACGGUAACGGACCUUCGGGUGCCGACGAGUGGCGAACGGGUGAGUAAUGUAUCGGAACGUACCUUUCAGUGGGGGAUAACGUAGCGAAAGUUACGCUAAUACCGCAUAUUCUGUGCGCAGGAAAGCAGGGGACCUUCGGGCCUUGCGCUGAUUGAGCGGCCGAUAUCAGAUUAGCUAGUUGGUGAGGUAGAGACUCACCAAGGCGACGAUCUGUAGCGGGUCUGAGAGGAUGAUCCGCCACACUGGAACUGAGACACGGUCCAGACUCCUACGGGAGGCAGCAGUGGGGAAUUUUGGACAAUGGGGGCAACCCUGAUCCAGCCAUGCCGCGUGAGUGAAGAAGGCCUUCGGGUUGUAAAGCUCUUUCGGCCGGGAAGAAAUCGUAUCAGCUAAUACCUGGUGCGGAUGACGGUACCGGCAUAAGAAGCACCGGCUAACUACGUGCCAGCCGCCGCGGUAAAAC
rnacentral:rRNA from 1 species